rnacentral:rRNA from 1 species
AUGUCUUCCUCCUCCGGCGCCUCUCAGCCUAGCCUCAGUGGGCAGGUCAUCGAGAAACUCUCAUGCACAAACUAUGUGCUAUGGCACACGCAGAUCACGCCGCAACUACAUGGCACCGGUGUCUUCGUCUACGUCGACGGCACCUCACCGGAGCCAGACAAGCUCCUCGCCGCCAAGUACAAGGACGACAAGGAGACCUUCGAGCCCAACCCUCUCCACCCCAUCUGGGUCUGGGAGGAUCAGCAAGUGCUUGGCUACCUGCUGAGCAACCUCUCUAAAGAGGUGCUCGUCACGGUGACCACAGUCACCACAGCGCAGACGCUCUGGACGACGCUGGCGGGCAUGUACUCGUCGCAGUCACUGAGCCGCAUCAACAACACCUGUACCUUGCAUAUCAACGCGCAGAAGGGCACCUAG